ensembl:snoRNA SNORA66 Small nucleolar RNA SNORA66
GUGCAAACUCAAUCACUAACUCUGCAUGCCAUUGCAGAAAUGAAGGUAACCACAUUACUAACAUAAUUAUAGUGCUAGAAAUAUAUUAUUAACCUCAGUGGGCCGGGAGAUGUUGCAGUGGAUAAAUCACUGGACUCUCCAGCAUGAGGUUCUG